rnacentral:siRNA from 1 species
UAAAGGAAUGAUAGGCAAAGAU